rnacentral:misc_RNA from 1 species
GUUGCGUCACGGGUCGAUUUGAACACGACUUAUGUGUGACAAUAUACUCGAUGUCGAAGGCAUUGUAACCCAACGAGUGGGGAGUUUGAUUUGGUUGGUACAAAUCAAACGAUCUGCGGUAGCAGCGAUAAUGACGUGGUGUGGAUGCAGGUUGAUCCAUGCGCCGAAGUUGUUGUUACUUUGUCAUGCUAAUGAGAUUUGUCAACUGUUACGGUGAUGUCAAGUUGUUUGGGGAUCCUAGCUGCCUUUGAUCUUAGUUUUACGCUUAACAGAUAUCUUCAUGAGGCCUGCACUAUCGGUCCGGUUGUAUGGCAUGUUCUCGUUUGAUUUUUGCUUUACGAUCGGAUUGUAGGUGUGACCGAUGACAUGAUUUGGCUUGUUAAUCAUAAAACUGUGGAUGACAACUUGACGUUGUUUCGUUUGUUGAUGAAUGUUGUUGCAUGGCUGCUUUGAUGCAUUGUGAUGACAUUCGUCUUGAGGUGAUGCGGUGUCAUUUUGCCUGUGUAUCCUGGUUUUGAUCUGUUUGGGCUUAAAACCCGUGGAUUAGCGGUUGGUGAUAUGGCAUCGCUACCUUGGUUGAUGAAAGUCGUCCAAUGUUGCUGUGCCUUAUUUGUUUUCUUCUCGCAUCGCUCGGUGCAUUCUGGGGUCAUUUUGGCUGUUGGCAGCUCGCUUGGUAAUUAAGCUUGGUGGGUUGCUACUAGUUGGGUGUCUUCGGGGAUGUCUACCGUAAAGGUGCAUGAGUGGUGUUUGGUUUGUUACGGGUGGUUGGCUCUUUGCUUGCGCAACAACUUCUACCCGGCAUACCUCUUCAGUCUUGUGUCAAUGCUUGUAUUGCAUUGAAUGCACGGUGGGUUUCUUGUGUUGCAUUCCUAAUUAAUGGUAUCGUUUGAUGAAUUGGCUUUCCAUUCGUCUUGCGUCGCCUAUGCGAUGUGAUAUGAACCUUGAAGUAACCUUUGUGAUCCACUCUUUUGAUGCAUAUGCAUUGAUUUUGUGGCCCAUUGAGUGUUGCUUGGUCUCAUGGAUAUGGAACCUGUUGUGGGCAUGGAAUGCUUAAUGGUUCCUUGUUUGCCCAUGUUUAGCUUUUCUAAAACGAGUGUCU